CCUUGGUUAGCUCAGUUGGUAGAGCGCUCCACCUGUAAUGGAGAGGUCCCGGGUUCGAUAUAUGGACCAGGCG
rnacentral:tRNA from 2 species